rnacentral:rRNA from 2 species
CAGCAGCCGCGGUAACACCAGCCCCUCGAGUGGUGGGGAUGAUUAUUUGGCCUAAAGCGUCCGUAGCCGGCCGAGCAAGUCUUCCGUUAAAUCCAGCGUCUUAAGCGUUGGACCGCGGGAGAUACUACACGGCUAGAGAGUGGGAGAGGUCAGCGGUAUUCUGGGGGUAGGGGCGAAAUCCUUUGAUCCCCGGAGGACCACCAGUGGCGAAGGCUGCUGACUAGAACACGUCUGACGGUCAGGGACGAAAGCUGGGGUAGCGAACCGGAUUAGAUACCCGGGUAGUCCCAGCCGUAAACGAUGCAUGCUAGGUGUUGGGUUGGCCACGAGCCACCCCAGUGCCGCAGGGAAGCCGUUAAGCAUGCCGCCUGGGAAGUACGAUCUCAAGGUUGAAACUUAAAGGAAUUGGCGGGGGAGCAC